rnacentral:rRNA from 1 species
CCUACGGGGGGCAGCAGUAGGGAAUUUUCCACAAUGGGCGAAAGCCUGAUGGAGCAACGCCGCGUGCAGGAUGAAGGCUUUCGGGUCGUAAACUGCUUUUCUACGAGAUUCGGUAGGUCAGGAAUAAGGGUCUGCUAACUACGUGCCAGCAGCCGCGGUCAUACGUGGGACCCAAGCGUUAUCCGGAAUUACUGGGCGUAAAGAGUGCGUAGGUGGCAGAGUAAGCAAGAUAUGAAAGCGUGUGGCUCAACCAUACAUGCAUAUUUUGAACUGCUCAGCUAGAGUAUGGGAGAGGUAGAUGGAAUUUCUAGUGUAGGAGUGAAAUCCGUAGAUAUUAGAAGGAACACCGAUGGCGUAGGCAGUCUACUGGCCAUACUGACACUAAGGCACGAAAGCGUGGGGAGCGAACGGGAUUAGAUACCCUUGUAGUC